rnacentral:tRNA from 1 species
GGCCGUAUAGUUUAGGGGUAAAACGGUUCAUUCGUAACGAAUUGUCAUCAGUUCGAUUCUGAUUACGGCCU